AGAGUUUGAUCCUGGCUCAGGAUGAACGCUAGCGGCAGGCCUAAUACAUGCAAGUUGAACGGGAUUCAGGGAAACUAGCAAUAGCGGAACUGAUGAGAGUAGCGCACGGGUGCGUAACACGUAUGCAACCUACCUUUAACCGGGACAUAACCUCGAGAAAUUGAAGCUAAUAUCCCAUGUGAUUACUUAGUGGCAUCACUGAGUAAUUAAAAUUCAGAUGGUUAAAGAUGGGCAUGCGUCCCAUUAGCUAGUUGGUGAGGUAACGGCUCACCAAGGCCACGAUGGGUAGGGGUUCUGAGAGGAUGAUCCCCCACACUGGUACUGAGACACGGACCAGACUCCUACGGGAGGCAGCAGUAAGGAAUAUUGGUCAAUGGACGCAAGUCUGAACCAGCCAUGCCGCGUGCAGGAAGACGGCCCUAUGGGUUGUAAACUGCUUUUGUACGGGAAGAACUACAUUUACGUGUAAAUGUUUGACGGUACCGUAAGAAUAAGGAUCGGCUAACUCCGUGCCAGCAGCCGCGGUAAUACGGAGGAUCCGAGCGUUAUCCGGAUUUAUUGGGUUUAAAGGGUGCGCAGGCGGGUAUAUAAGUCAGAGGUGAAAUUCCACGGCUCAACUGUGGGACUGCCUUUGAUACUGCAUAUCUAGAGUAUAUUUGGAGUGGGCGGAAUGUAGCAUGUAGCGGUGAAAUGCUUAGAUAUGCUACAGAACACCGAUCGUGAAGACAGCUCACUAAACUAUAACUGACGCUCAGGCACGAAAGCGUGGGGAGCAAACAGGAUUAGAUACCCUGGUAGUCCACGCCGUAAACGAUGAUUACUCGCUGUUGGCGAUACACAGUCAGCGGCUAAGCGAAAGUGAUAAGUAAUCCACCUGGGGAGUACGAUCGCAAGAUUGAAACUCAAAGGAAUUGACGGGGGCCCGCACAAGCGGAGGAGCAUGUGGUUUAAUUCGAUGAUACGCGAGGAACCUUACCUGGGCUCGAACGUAGUUGGACUAAGUGUGAAAGCAUUUAUUUCUUCGGAACUGACUACGAGGUGCUGCAUGGUUGUCGUCAGCUCGUGCCGUGAGGUGUUAGGUUAAGUCCUGCAACGAGCGCAACCCCUAUUCUUAGUUGCCAGCAUGUCAUGAUGGGGACUCUAGGAAAACUGCCUACGCAAGUAGUGAGGAAGGCGGGGAUGACGUCAAAUCAGCACGGCCCUUACGUCCAGGGCUACACACGUGCUACAAUGGCCGGUACAGAGGGCAGCUACAUAGUGAUAUGAUGCGAAUCUCGAAAGCCGGUCUCAGUUCGGAUUGGAGUCUGCAACUCGACUCCAUGAAGUUGGAUUCGCUAGUAAUCGCGCAUCAGCCAUGGCGCGGUGAAUACGUUCCCGGGCCUUGUACACACCGCCCGUCAAGCCAUGGAAGCUUGGGGUACCUGAAGUCCGUGACCCACAAGGAGCGGCCUAGGGUAAAACAGGUAACUAGGGCUAAGUCGUAACAAGGUAGCCGUACCGGAAGGUGCGGCUGGAAUACCU
rnacentral:rRNA from 1 species